rnacentral:lncRNA from 12 species
CCAUAAACAAAGUCUGCCAAGUUAGUGGCCUUACAGAUGCCCCCAGAUCCACCCUCAGAGCAGGGCCUUUGUACAGGGUCCUCCCACGGAUGAUGAGACUCUGAGGAUUUUUCUGAUAAGCUGCUACAUUAUUCCCUUAAACAGCUGAAGGAAAGUGAAAUGAAAAUUAAUGGUAAACCUUGACAAAUUUUGAAUUCCAUUGCUUGGAGGUGCCUGGACUUGAAAUGAAUAAGGAACCCUUCCUGGCAGGUUUUCUUUUUACUAUCUGACCUAUUUCUAAAGACUGAAGCUUCAUUUAGAGAAUUGGUGAAGUAAAUCGACCUUGCAAAAGUGUAAUGAGACCACACCAGCCUAAGAAGACUUGAACUGUGAAUUCUCAGUGAAUUCCAUGAAGAGAAGAGUGAAGGAAAGGAUGUGUCCCCUGGUAUAACGGCUCUAAAGGAGACUCUCAACAUCUACAAUGGUGGUGUUUUAUAGACACAGAAACCCAAGGAACCUGUGGUGGUCUUUCCACUGAGCAGCCCCCAGUCCCAGACUUCUUAUGUGGUGACAGCUCCUCAGAGAAAAGAAGGUGCUGGAAAAUACCUUCACUAAUGAGUGAAAAGGUGGUAAGAACACGAGAGGUGAUUGGAUAACAGCACAGAGAAAAUUCUCUGUAAUAAAAGCCAUGAUCUUUGAA